rnacentral:tRNA from 1 species
GCCGCCUUAGCUCAGUGGCAGAGCAGCGCUUUCGUAAAGCGUGGGUCCUCGGUUCAAUCCCGAGAGGCGGCU